rnacentral:tRNA from 1 species
GGGGAGAUGGCUCAGCGGCAGAGUGCUUGCUGUGCAAGCCUUAGGGCCUGAGUUUGGAUCCCCAGUCCCCUCA